rnacentral:lncRNA from 1 species
ACACACACACACACGUAUACAUACAUAUGUACACAUAAAUAUGUAUAAUAUGCAUGUAUGUAAUGGAAUCAAUGCAUAAUAGGUUCUCUUAGAAAACGAAGAAAGAAGAUUUUCAUGAUGGUGGGUUCAUAAUAAGUCCAGAGUUUUCUUUCCAUCUCUUAAUAUUAACUAUUCUUCGAGGAAUGGUGACCUUGUUCGUCUUUUCAUUAAUAUACAUCUCUUUGAAGGAAAUAUUUGUUCUCUCUCUCUCUCUCUGGGUUUUAUUUUUAUUUUUAUUUUUCAUGUUGGAUCCAAGAUUUAGGACAUGCUAAGAAUUUUUGUUCCUGUGACUGAGUUAACUUUUGGAAGAGCCAAAAUUGUAGAUUCACUUAUUGGACAGUUUGUAUAUCUGGAAUUUGAGUUGCAUGUUAAAUUUGAGGCUCUCGGGUGGAACACUGGUGUUUCCCUACCUAGCUACCUCCAAAGAUGGGUUAAGAUAUGUAGUUGUACACUUAUAAGUUUCCAUAGUUGAUAUAUAGAUGCUUGACAGGGAUUUUUAUUUUUUUAUAUUCUUGUACAGAUAAAUUCCAUGAAGUGAAAAGGAAACAUAAUAGGAGAAAAGAGGUAUGGCUACUUUAUUUACAAAAUUUUCCCAUUUCAUUAACUUCUAAGUUUUUGUAAAGUGUUAUAAUGUUUUUACUGUUAUUUUUGAAACUGAUGAAGGAUCAUUUACUUCUGAUUUUCUAUGAACAUGUUAAAUCAUUUAUGAUUUGAAAUGCCUAUGUUGUAUCUUACUAAAAAUUAUCCUGUGAUGAACUUUUAUUUCGAAGGACAAGAAAGAGAUGGUUAGAAAAGAUUUUAGUAAAGAGAGUAAUUUUGUCGGAAUGCAUCUAAUGACAUUUGUCAUGGUUUAACUAUCUAUAAUGUCACAUGCUCUAUUAAAUUUAAUUAAUUUUUUAUUUUACUAUUGAUACGAUCUCAAUACAUGUUAGAAGAUGGAGGGGUAGACUAACCUAUCAUGGCAUGUAAUGGUUGCCAAGGGAUCUAUUUCUUUGGAUCUUACAGUAAACAUAGCAAUAAACAGAAUUAAGAGGCAACAAAGGAUUCAUGUACCCUUUCCAGUUAUUGGCAAUAAUUCAAUAAUUCACGUUGUCUCAUCCAAUCUACCCACAUUUUUGUU